UCUGUUCAUCGUCAGAAUCUUGUUCCUUUCCGACAACAAAGCUCUUUUAGAAAUGUUUCAGGAGAAUGAAUGGCUUUCUUUUCCAAUACGGGAAGACGACAUUCAACAAUACCAGAGAGAAACUGAGGAUGUCAACAGGCCUGGGAUCCCAGCCAGUCAACAUUUGGCCUUCUUUAAGGUUUCCUGAAUAACAACCCUGAAUAACAAGGAACUGGUAGCUCCUACUAAUCUGAAUACUAUAAUGCUGCCCCCACCAACCAUCCUCCUGAAGGUGUAAACCCUGAAUAACAAGGAACUGGUAGCUCCUACUAAUCUGAAUACUAUAAUGCUGCCCCCACCAACCAUCCUUCUGAAGGUGUAAACCCUGAAUAAUAACAAACUGGUAACUCCUACUAAUCUGAAUACUAUACUGAAGAACACUGAAGAUCAAAUAAAAUGAUUGAAUAGGUACUGUUAAUAUCAAAAAUAUAAAUAAAAAGAACAAUAUUUUUA